AUUCACUGGGCUUUGCUCUUGGAUUCUUGAAAAAAAAAUUUAUUUGUUCUUUGUAAAAUCAUCUGUAUGCACAGGAUUGUACACACACAAGUGGACAUGCCUCUGGAGGCAGGAAGAGUGGUCCUCUGGAGCUGGAGAUACAGGGGUUGUGAUCCACCUGACAUGGAUGUCUUCUGCCAGAGCACUACAUGCCUUAACCACUGAACAAUCUCUCCAGUCCGUCUCGAAGAUUCUUAUUUUAACCAUGCAUGUUUGCUUCCCAUCACCUUGGAGGCCUGGAGAAGGAGGGUUACCCAGAUGUCCUUAAGGAGUCCUGUCCCUGACCUUGAUCUGUCUCUGCAGGACCCAAGUUAAGGAGUAAGGGCCAGUGACCACUGCCUACUAGCUCUGAGGGUGAAGUGAGCUGGCAUGCCAAGGACAGCCCUAGUCCCAGCAGGAAGAUCUGGUCCUCUUCCCCACAAGGACAGGGGCAAACACAAGGAUGGAUCAAGGACAGGCCCAGACCCUGCAUGGAACCACAUGGAGGACUUGGGAGAAUGAUAGCGAGUGGUUUGGUUGCUCAGUGGCUCUGACAGAAUGGGGCCCAGGUGCUCACCCCUUUGCCUAUAGGAGGUGUGUUUGGCUUGGGCCUCCAUUUUCCUG
rnacentral:lncRNA from 1 species